GACGAACGCUGGCGGCGUGCUUAACACAUGCAAGUCGAACGAAGAGCGAUGGAAGCUUGCUUCUAUCAAUCUUAGUGGCGAACGGGUGAGUAACGCGUAAUCAACCUGCCUUUCAGGGGGGGACAACAGUUGGAAACGACUGCUAAUGCCGCAUACGAUCUAAUCUCGGCAUCGAGGAUAGAUGAAAGGUGGCCUCUACAUGUAAGCUAUCACUGAAGGAGGGGAUUGCGUCUGAUUAGCUAGUUGGAGGGGUAACGGCCCACCAAGGCGAUGAUCAGUAGCCGGUCUGAGAGGAUGAACGGCCACAUUGGGACUGAGACACGGCCCAGACUCCUACGGGAGGCAGCAGUGGGGAAUCUUCCGCAAUGGACGAAAGUCUGACGGAGCAACGCCGCGUGAGUGAUGACGGCCUUCGGGUUGUAAAGCUCUGUUAAUCGGGACGAAAGGCCUUCUUGCGAAUAGUGAGAAGGAUUGACGGUACCGGAAUAGAAAGCCACGGCUAACUACGUG
rnacentral:rRNA from 1 species